rnacentral:rRNA from 1 species
UACGUAGGGGGCAAGCGUUGUCCGGAUUCAUUGGGCGUAAAGAGCUCGUAGGCGGUUCAGCAAGUCGGGUGUGAAACCUCCAGGCUCAACCUGGAGACGCCACCCGAUACUGCUGUGACUUGAGUCCGGUAGGGGACCACGGAAUUCCUGGUGUAGCGGUGAAAUGCGCAGAUAUCAGGAGGAACACCGGUGGCGAAGGCGGGUCUCUGGGCCGAUACUGACGCUGAGGAGCGAAAGCGUGGGGAGCGAACAGG